GUCAUCUUAGAGAGAGAGGCAGGUUUCCCAGGUGUGCUUUCUGGCCUGGAUGCUGACUGUGAAAUCUCUCAGGCCUUCCUAAGCACUCUGCUUAAACAUUAUUUAUGUUCGGCAGGAGAACCAUUCCCUACUGUCUGCUUUCUCUUCUCUCACAUAAAAUUGCACAUUUAAUUUCUGUUUAUACAUAUAUAAACUAUAUCUUUAGGAGCAGCCUGGGAAAUCCUUGGUUGAAGAUGGAAUUUUGCCUUUGGAAAACACAGAGUUUAUUUGCAGGAUGAAGUGAGAGGUAAUAUGCUAUUUAUGAGAAAACCUACUACUUGGUAAGUGAGAUGUCCUUAAUUUUAGCUUUUACUUUACUUGUAUAUUUGCUUAUGAAUGACUAUUCCUCCAUAUUUUUACUAAAUCAAAGAAAAUGGUAGUUAUGGGUACAGUUGGGUAUUUUGAAUUCAGACUAGGUUGUACAUUGGGAUUAUAAAAAUAACACCUGUCUUGGAAAGUAUUCCUGGAAGUUUGUCAGUGUUUUGAUGAAUCUUUUAGUUGGCUGCAUGGAUUGAUAUGUUUUCUUCCCAGAUGCAGAGCUUGGUUCACUAAUGCCUCUCUUGUUUACACCAUUGUCUGGUACUGAACUUUGAAAUUACUGAUGUCUUUCUCAGUUGAAAAUGGAAAAUUGGCGAGAGUCUUUCAAAGCUGACAGUGGGAAGUAACAUGAAAUAGCAAGCAUUCUGCCAGUCCUGCCCUUCAUAUCUCAUUUCUCCAAGGUAGCUUAGACACUGAUAAUAGUAGUUAAUGGAGUUCCUGUUGUGGCUCAGUGGUAACUAAUCCGACUAGUAUCCAUGAGGUCGCUGGAUCCCUGGACUUGCUCAGUAGGUUAAGGAUUUGGUGUUGCCAUGAGCUGUGGUGUAGGCUGCAGAUGCAGCUUGGAUCUGGCAUUGCUGUGGCUGUGGUGUAGGCCAACGGCUACAGCUCCAAUUCGACUCCUAGCCUGGGACCUUCCAUAUGCCAGGAGUACAGCCUUAAAAAGCUUAAAAAAAAAUUAACAUUUAGUGAACAUUUCAGUGCUAUGCCAGGCACCCUUCUCUUUCCUGUACAAGAAUAAACCAGUUUCUUAUGACA
rnacentral:lncRNA from 1 species